GCCCGGCUGGCGCAGUCGGUACAGCAUGAAACUCUUAAUCUCAAGGUCGUGGGUUCGAACCCAACGUUGGGCG